rnacentral:rRNA from 1 species
UACGGAGGAUCCAAGCGUUAUCCGGAAUUACUGGGCGUAAAGAGUUGCGUAGGUGGCAUUGUAAGUUGGUAGUGAAAGCGUGGGGCUCAACCCCAUAAACAUUACUAAAACUGCAAAGCUCGAGAAUGAGAGAGGUCGCUGGAAUUCCCUGUGUAGGAGUGAAAUCCGUAGAUAUAGGGAGGAACACCGAUGGCGUAGGCAGGCGACUGGCUCAUUUCUGACACUAAGGCACGAAAGCGUGGGGAGCAAACGGG